AUUGAACGCUGGCGGCAUGCUUUACACAUGCAAGUCGAACGGUAACAGGGAGUUUGCUCCGCUGACGAGUGGCGAACGGGUGAGUAAUGCGUCGGAACGUGCCGAGUAGUGGGGGAUAACGCAUCGAAAGGUGUGCUAAUACCGCAUACGAACUGAGGUUGAAAGUGGGGGACCUUCGGGCCUCACGCUAUUCGAGCGGCCGACGUCUGAUUAGCUAGUUGGUGAGGUAAAGGCUCACCAAGGCGACGAUCAGUAGCGGGUCUGAGAGGAUGAUCCGCCACACUGGGACUGAGACACGGCCCAGACUCCUACGGGAGGCAGCAGUGGGGAAUUUUGGACAAUGGGCGCAAGCCUGAUCCAGCCAUGCCGCGUGUCUGAAGAAGGCCUUCGGGUUGUAAAGGACUUUUGUCCGGGAGCAAAUGCUGGUGGCUAACAUCCACCGGAGCUGAGAGUACCGGAAGAACAAGCACCGGCUAACUACGUGCCAGCAGCCGCAGUAACAC
rnacentral:rRNA from 1 species